AUGAGCUACUACGGCCAGCAGCAGCCNCCGCCGCAGCAGGGGUAUCCGCCACAGCAGGGAGGGUACCCGCCGCAGCAAGGGUACCCGCAGCAGGGGUACCCGCCUCAGUACGCGCAGCAGCCGCCGCGGCAGCAGCAGAGCAGUGGCCCGUCCUUCAUGGAGGGAUGGUAA
rnacentral:rRNA from 1 species